rnacentral:misc_RNA from 1 species
GCAAACUUGGUCAUUUAGAGGAAGUAAAAGUCGUAACAAGGUUUCCGUAGGUGAACCUGCGGAAGGAUCAUUAAAGUAUUCUUCUCGGAAGGGAGGCGAGCCCAGCUCCGGUCCCCCAAAAAGGGCCGUGCAGCGGGUGAACCGCCCGACCGGAAACCCCCACAAACCCCUGUGCACUUUCCGAUGGUGGAGGGAGACUGGGCGAGAGCUCGGGAUCCUGAAACCGUCGCCACAAACCCCUUUGUAAAAAAAGAAUGAUACAGCGACCUCUGCGUUGCCUAAAUUAAUGUAACAACUUUCAACAACGGAUCUCUUGGCUCUCGCAUCGAUGAAGAACGCAGC